CAUGUUGCUGAUUUUCUUUUAGGUGUGAAGUAAGGAUCUCCAUCCUCCAGGAGGUGAUCGGACUGUAACUGCUGCUCCUUCACAUCAGACGGACUCAGGUGGGGAUGUUGGGAAAUCGUAAAAUAUUCCUUUUGUCUGCCUCUUUCAGGAGGUUAUUUGGAAGCUUCCCACUGGGAGGAAACCAAAUGAAGGAAAUCUUGCCGUUCCUUGGAAUGCCUUGAAAUCCCCCAAGGUUCUGGAGUCUGGAGGGGGAUCCCUGGAGCCUUGUGUCCACUUCACAACACAGCAGUUUAAUGCACCAUUCGGUCUGUUUUGGUUGUUAGGACAAUGGUAUGUUAUCGUUGCCAUUAGCAUGAGACGUACUAGUGUGUCUCAUGCUAAUAUGACGCAACAUUAGAUGUUUGGGUUUAAUCCCGCCGACCCAAUGAGAGUCCAUAUUACUUCCUGAAGGGUGUUUCACUUCCUGAACUCAGAGAAGUGAAAGACAGAAGUUUAGUAGAUAAAUAACUUAAUCUUAAUAAACUAAAUGUUGGUAGUUUAAGAAAAUCAAAUAAAAUUGUUGCAAUUAUCAGAUAACUUUAGUAAAAUAUGACUGCAGGAAACCUGAAACUCCAACCAAACGGGUCAGGCAGGUCAUGGUUAUCUGGGUUUCUGAAGGGAAUGUUGCUGCUGUCGUAUCACCGUUUCCUUCACUAUUUCUCUGUUUUUACUUUCAUUUCUUUGAAAGAUAAAGUACAGUUGGAUCUGGAUGAGAUGAUCUGAUUGGCUUGGAUGUUAAAAAUCUCUGCUUGUGUCUUAAAUUUGGUGUAUUAAAUUUUUAGCAAUUAGCUGCAGCUUUAGGCUUUUGCUGUUAGUCAAUCAUUAACAUGGAAAGGUUUAAAACCCUCUCUAGGUCAAAAGGUAUUUCCAUAAUGAGGUACAUCAGUUGCUGUUUGGUUAUGUAAGAUAAUGUGAGCAUGUUAUGUAGCUACCAUGGAUGAAACAUGUUGCCUUUAGCUUUGAUACCUUCCAUUAUUUUAGUCGCUAAUUAAAAUGACAAAUGUUCCACACAAACAAUUGAUUAUCAUAGCUUCUCGGCCUUUUGGCUAAGACAGCGGUCGCCUCCAUUGGGUGGUGAUAGCGGUAGUCUUUGUGUCUUGGCUGUUACCACUGUGUCGAGGUUUAUUAAACUUGUCCCUGGUGGAGAUAUUGACCACUAAAUAGUGGAAGAUAUCUCUUCCUUUUAUUGUAUUUAUUUCUGUUUGGUUUUAAUUAUUUAUUGGUUUUAGUAAGAACUUCUGAAAUAUUUUUGUGACUCAUUGUUUUAUCUACCAAAUACCAGACAAUCUAGCAAAACUAACAAUAACUGUGUCUUGAAACUUAUUUUUCAGUUUACUUCAAAGAACUAUGAACUGUUAAGUGUCUUAAAUGUUUUCAAUUAACUUAUGACAAAAAACAAUACAAUUUAGUGUAAACAUAUUGUUCUUCUUGCUGUUGGGUUUCAGAAUUGUUAUUGUAUAUGGUGGUUAAUGUAUACUGGUUUUAGAUACUCUCCAUAGAAAUGAAUUCAAAUAUUAUGCAUGUUUAAGUUACAUCGUCUGCUUUAUGAUUGCUUUCUUCAACCACAAAAACAAACAAAACAUCUGAUUAAACAAAGUCUGGAAAAGACUUUUUUUUUUUUUCUUGUGGCACCUCGAUUUGAUUCCUUCGCUGGCCAAGCAGAACAGCUAUUGCUCCCUCACUCAGUAAUGAAGACCCCGGGCAGGGUGGAUGGGCCUCGGGGCAAACGUACACAAACACACCAGCAUGCAAACAUGAGGGUAGUGAUGGAGAGAGAGCUCUGAAUAAACAGAGCUCAAAUGUUUGGUUUGGUAACGUGGAGGCAAAAGGGAUGACAAUCAAGGCAUUUUGGAUUUCAUCACCAUUCUAAAUUCGAUGCCGUGUUCUUGAAGCGGUGUGGUAAAGCAGCACUGCUGAAAUUUUAUGGUUGCAUCGUCUAAGAGAAAUCCAAGCGUAUGAUUAGGCCUUGAUAGGUUUGGGUAAGGCCGAAGGGAGACUGUGGGUGGGAUAGGCAGGUUGGUUUCAGGGGAUUUUCUAAUAGGCGUUCCCUUGGUGAAAAGCUUCUUCAACCCACACACGCACACAGUUUCUUCACUGUAAAUGCUCUUUCACCUUUAUCCUUACACUCAUUUGGUGAUUUCUGUGAGUGAUACUGUUUCGUAGAGGAGAAUAGCGGUGGGAAUGGAUUAUGAUUAUAAAAGAUAGGUCGUGCGUUGGCACCACACCUCCGCUGUUCAGCGUUUAUCUGGCAAAGCGCACCCCAGGAGGCUCCUGUGUCCUUUUUGCCCACACUACUGUAGGCAGAAAGGUGAUUUUCUUUUCCUCAUAUUUCUGUCCGUGAUGUAAUAUACUACGAGACAAGAUGAUGCACGAUGCUGCGUUCACGAGAAAUGGAUGGCAUUUGUGGCUUUUUCAUGGAGAAAAUUAAAAAUUUAACUUUGCACAAUCUCCUGUUUUGUGGAUAAUGGAUAAUGUCUGGCACAAGACUUUUGUUGAGUUACCAAACACAUGUCCCCAUCACUUAUUUAGGUUGGACAAAACCCUGGCUAUGGUUUCUAAAUUCAUUAUCUCAAAGCUAAUUUCACAGUUGCCUCAUUCCAAAAGAAUGUUGAAAUAAAUGCUCCCUUUUUGUUUUUGAAAAUUUAUUUUUCGGUUUAUGUUCAUGUUUAACCUCUCUGUUCCAGAUUGAAAAAAAAAGAAAAAAAGAAAAACAAAACAGAAAUAGCACCAGGACUGCACACCAACUUUAGCUACGUUAGCAGCUAAUUGUUAGCCAGCGAUGGUUGUUUCAUGGUAACAGGCAAAUUGUAUGCUGUCUGCCUGCAGGAACCUUUUCUUCUUAUCUACCAGCUACACCCCUCCAACGCCUUACACAAGUAGAGAUGAUAUUUGGCCUUUAUUUGCUGAAUCUGCCACGUAAUCAGAUGACAACAUAAUAACUACUUCCUGCCUUACUUCAAAGUAUGAGUGUCAAUAAUAGAUGCAUUGUCUCAAGCCACCUGUAAAGAGUCUUAGCAGAGGACUAAGCUUGAAUAGACACAGAGGUAUAUAAACACCUUCAUAUACAGAGCUCAUAGUAUUAUACUAAAGUAAAAUAACGACUAGACAAUACUUCUCAAGAGACGGUUUAUGCCUUUCUGGGAAAAGUCAUGCUGUUUUAAUGAUUCCAUGCCACGUGACCUCAGUCCCUCCUUAGUCCACCGUUCUCAACCCAACAAUAUCUUACAUUCAGUUUGCUCCUUCUGCACAGAUUCUGAAUCGCAGUGAUAUUUUUUAUUUUUUUUUACUCUGGUAAAAAAAAAUCCAAGUGUAAAAGUUUGAUAUGGUCAGAUAAUCACCGUCAAUUUGAAAGAAAUAAUAAUAAAAUACCUUUUUUUUGGUCCUUUCUGUCCAUCACAUAAUUAGUUGCACAUUACAGAUAUUUGAUAGCACUUUCUUCAUUAAUAAUUCAUACUUGCUAAAUUCAUAAAACAUCAUCUUGUCCCCAGCAAGUAACAUUUGAUAUUACAUCUAAGGCCCAGAGCAGAGAUGUUUGCCAGAAUCCCAUCAAAUGAAAUUUCUAAAAAUACUGACUAGCAUGUUCUCCCUCAAAGGCUCUCAGUGGCCCUUUAAGAAGGACCGGAGGAGGAGAAGUCCCCUGCUAUCUAUUUUCUUUGGCACCGCAGCUCUUUUCUGAACGCUUUUCAUUUGAUUCCUUGCCUCUGCUUUUUUCUUUUUCUUUUCCCCCUCAUCUCUCUGCUUCUUUUCCAACGCCUGCUCAUGAUGUCAAUUUAAUUCAAUCUAAAGGACAUAAAGCGAGCACCAUCUUUUAAUGUCUUUUGGAAAGGCACUUGUAACACAUUAAAUUUACUUUCACCUUUUCAGCUGGGAUUUUAAGGGGCGAGAAAGAAAGAUCAAUUAUUGGCGGAAUUUGAAGUUUCAUUAAAAUCACUUCUCUCUGCCUGUGUCCUUGCGUCGUUUUAAGUGGGCCAUCUGUCUAAACAUCUCUCAGGGUUCUUUUUCCUUUUUUUCUGAUCAUUUCCUCGCCUUAUUCAUGAACCCUAGGAGUCCAGCUUUGUAGUAGUGUUGGAGCUGGAGCGGCCUCCCCCCGCUGAAUACAGCUCUGGGCCUCAGCCUGCGCAAGACUCCCCCCUCUGCCCACUAAGGCACCCCCCACCAGUACCCCCUUCACCACAAACUAUCCCAAAUAGCCUCCCCUUUCCUUUUGCGUCCCUUCAUAAGGGCCCACAGAAUGUCUGAACUUGCUACACGUAAAUGACCCGCCUCAUUGUGGCCGGUUCUCCUCGCCCUCCGUCUCUCUCGCUCUCUUCCCCUCUUCGCCUCUCUCCGACCCACCUACUGUUUCAGAUCCCCCUGUCUCUUCCCUCCUUCCCUGCUUCUCCUCCUUAUUGCAGAUUUGUAUGCAGGCUGUGACCUAGGUGGCUACAAAGCACAGCAGAUUAUUCUUGAUCAUUCCUCUGCCCCCCAUGAAGCCAGUUAUGAGAAAAGAUCCCUUAAUGAUGCUCUGACUAUUAACAGUGUUUUAUGUCCAAAUGUCUGCCCCAAUCUCCUAACAAACUGGUGCAAUAUAGACACAAGAAACUUGAGGAGUGACUAGACAUACAUAGGCUUUUGUGAUGAAGCUUCUAAUUGGAUAUUAGAGGCUUCACACUGAAUAAAGCAUUCGCUGAUGAUGCACUUUUGUAUUCUUUGACCAAAAGGUCAGAAACCAAAUAAAUUACAUAUAUGAAGAAUUUCUGCAUUUGUGCUCUUGCUGUAGACAUAUGAAAGGCCGAGAUUAGACUUGACUGCUGUCUCCUGUCGCUGUGCCAGUAUUGUGUCUGUAGUGGGUCCAUCCAGGCCCCCACAUCUCCCAUCUCAUCUCGGGUUCAUCCCUCUGUCUGUAGGAAGACAAGUCGUAGUGCCAGUCUGGCUCACAGCCAGUGUGGAAGCUCUGGGUAAGUCCCUGUGCCAAGCUGGGAUUAGACUGAGAUGUUAAUCAUUGGAGAGCAUAUUGGAAAAAAAACAAAAAAAAACAAAACAUCAUUAUACUUUCCAUUUUCAAGGUUUAAAGUUGCAGCAAAACAUGUUCCCUCUUAAGUUCUGCUGAAGCUUCUCCUUUUCCUACACUUCCUACACUUUGAACUUUUCCACAUCAAAGGCUUCUGUCAUUGCAUCUUAGCGAGCUUGUUUUGGAUAGGCAUGGUAAAGUAAUUCUAUGAAUAAUAUACAAGGGUUUGAAAGAUUUUUACAAACUGAAAUUUUUAACUUCUUUGAAGAACCAACUUUUUACUGAAAUUAAAGCUAUGCCAUCUUUUGUCAAUCUCUCUGCUAGUGUUGUGCUUAUAGAGAGCUGCUGAAUAGAUCACGGUCUACUGGAUUGGAUGGAAAGCGUGCUAAAUCUCUUCUCGAUGUUUUAACUUAUUUCAUGUGUGAACUUUUUAAAAAUGCUGUAAUCUGAAAGGUUUACUUAAUUCUAUCAAUGUUUCAAAAAGUGGUUGAAGAAAGGCAUAAUGCUGCCACUAACAUGUGCUGUGUUGAUGUGCUGCCCAACAUCCAGCUUUCCAAGUAGGUCGAAAAGUUCAGUUUAGAGGUCAACUGAUUAGAGCAUCUUCUUCUUCCAAUCAUUUGUUGUGGCUCACACAUGCUUUGAGAUAAACUACAAGCUAGACUUGCUAUGGCCCUCUGUCAGCCAUUGCUUUUUUCAUAACCACUUUUCUACUAAAACCAGAUUUGAGGAAAUCACAACUAACAGUUUCCCUGUUUCCCUGAGGUGUGUGUCUCUGCAGCUCCUCCAGAGUUACUCUAUCCCUCCUGGCUCUCCUUGCUUGUUUGGUCCAUUUCAGUGGAUGCCCAUGUCUUGCUGUGAAAGAGCGUUAUGCAGCCCACAAGUGACCCACAAGUGCCCAAAAUGAAUACAGUGUGCUAAUAGCUGUGAGAAGACACCCUGGGAGCAACCAUGAAAUAUGUGCAAGGACCCGUGACCACUGAGAUAAUAGCCCCUGACCAGACCACGGAUUGUCUGUGCACUCUCUCCUCCACCGCUCUCCCGCUCAGGUUUGGAGUGGCUCAGGUCCAGGACAGAUGGUUUACAGACAAGGCACUAAAUACUAGCCACAGCGGGGCCGGUGCCGGCUAUUUCCUAGCAGGGAGUUUUGUUUGUGGGAGCUUUUUGUGUUCAUCUGCCGAACCACAUCCAGGGCAGAAAGAAGAGAAGAUGGGGGCAGCUCUAAUUAAAGCCCAAGGAAGAGUGUCAUCUGCUGUGAACUCACAACUGGGGGGGGCACAGCAAAUCAAUGGACAGCCAGCACUGUCAUCACCAUCAACAGCUCCCGAUCAGAGCAAUUGGAGGGGAACAAAAAGGAGCGAGAAAGACACUACCGGGGAAGCUGCUACCACCUGUGCAGAGCCUAAGAGAGCUGAGGGGGAGAGAAAGAGGGAGCCGGGCACAGAGAUCCAUGACAAACACAGACCAAAAUUGUGACGCCGUUGUUCAAUCUAUUGUGAAACACUGGAGAUUUAUCGUUUCUUAAUUAGGGUUAGCAAUUUAGCAAUCAUCACCGUGGACAUCUAUUUUGAUAAACAAAGGUGCAAUUCUAUGACCAGAAUGAUCUAAAGACCUUUUAAAAAUAUGGAUUUCUUUAUCUCCCUCUUGCUUUUGCUAUUGAAUCUAGCGGCUACAUAGAGACAGAGUGCCAACGAUAAAUGUUUCUUGCAACAAGAAAAAGUGUUUCCAGCGCAAAUUUAGGGUAUUGACCUCUUCAAGUGGCAUCAGUGCUCUCCUGUCUGUGUGAACUGUGCCUCCGGGCCAGAGAGUUGAGGUGCGCUGGAUCAGAUUCUUACACAAACACGGCCACAUAGACGGCAUGUUCUCGUGGCAUUAGCAUUCCAAAUGUUUUUUCGAGACGAACGUGAAUGCGACUAUUUUUGUCUCAUAACGCGCACUCUCAGAUAGCCCCCUUUUGAAUAAAUGAAUUCUGACAAGGGGGAUCUGCAUACAAAAACACAGCAGGUUUUAAGGCAGCGGCUGGUCGACCAGCGAAGACCUCUGAAGUCCUCUCUGAAUCUCUUCAUUCAUCGCCUGCUCCUUACGGGCCUGCGGCUCUUUAAAUGGCCGCCUGUGUUUGUGCUGUGUUCACACUGGCGGUUAGAGAGGCAGCGAGGCAUACACCAACACAUUAAGUCCUAUGUGUUUGUAGUUGGCACCUGCAAAUCCUUUUACUUGCCUUAAUGUCAUGCAGAAAUGUGUUGAAUUUCAAAUGUGAUCUUAAAGGAACCUUGAGUGUGUUUCUGUGAAGAAAACAGGAAAAAGCAGCGUAUUUGUUUUUGCCUUCAGGCAGGCACAAAUUCAUUGGUCUUUGUGUCAGACAUCCAGACACCUGAACUGAUAGACCAAACUGUUUCUAAGAGCUCUAAACUUUCUACACUUUUGUCUUGCAGGGUCAAAGACAAUUUGAUUUGUGUUUUGUUUUGCUUUCAAGUUCUAGCCAAUCCCAAUGUGCUGAGUUAACCUAAAAACAUGGUUAGAGUGACCAUCGUGUCACACUGAGGCAGCCAAAGAGUGGCCUAAAAAUGACAAUGAGCUAAACUAAAUAUAUAUAUAACACGUUAUGUGUUACAUUUUUUUCAAUUAAGUAUAGACAACAGUCUUAUAAAUUGUCUAAAUUAUAAUGACACCUUUGUUGACAAAUUUAAUAGAAAUAGUAAAAUUCCUACUUAAUAUCCCUUAAAAGAAAUUAUUAAUAGUCCUAUUCUUGUUCUCUUUUGUUAAAACUCUAAGAUAACAUUUUGAAAUUAACACAGCUAAAACCAUGAAUAAAGCUAUAAUACAGUAGCAAGAGAAAUAUAUGUGGAAGAAAAUAUAGUUUCUAAGGCGGACUGUAAUGACUGCAUGAGCAGUUUGGUCAACGUGAUUGUUCAACACAACAAGCACAAAGCUUAUUUUAGCUUCUUCACAUGCAAAACAUGAAGGUCGUCUAGAGUAAAACAAACUGACAAUUGCUUUAUUUGAUCCUCUAAUCAUUUCCUUUUUCACUGUGUGUGGAAGAACACUGAAAUCUGAUCAGGUUGUGGAGCCAGGUUGGUUCUGAUGGUUCCUUUUCUCUGAAACACUGACUUCCUUUAAGUCUCGACUGAAAACCCACUAUAGAGUGGGUUUAGAGUUGUAUUUGAAACAUAGUCAAUUAUGAAUUUAAU